CCUACGGGGAGCAGCAGUGAGGAAUAUUGGUCAAUGGACGAGAGUCUGAACCAGCCAAGUAGCGUGAAGGAUGACUGCCCUAUGGGUUGUAAACUUCUUUUAUAUGGGAAUAAAAUGUUCCACGUGUGGGAUUUUGUAUGUACCAUAUGAAUAAGGAUCGGCUAACUCCGUGCCAGCAGCCGCGGUAAUACGGAGGAUCCGAGCGUUAUCCGGAUUUAUUGGGUUUAAAGGGAGCGUAGGUGGAUUGUUAAGUCAGUUGUGAAAGUUUGCGGCUCAACCGUAAAAUUGCAGUUGAAACUGGCAGUCUUGAAUACAGUAGAGGUGGGCGGAAUUCGUGGUGUAGCGGUGAAAUGCUUAGAUAUCACGAAGAACUCCGAUUGCGAAGGCAGUUCACUGGACUGCAACUGACACUGAGGCUCGAAAGUGUGGGUAUCAAACAGGAUUAGAUACCCGAGUAGUC
rnacentral:rRNA from 1 species